UACGGGGGAGCAAGCGUUGUUCGGAUUUACUGGGCGUAAAGGGCGCGUAGGCGGCGCGACAAGUCACUUGUGAAAUCUCCGGGCUUAACCCGGAGCGGCCAAGUGAUACUGUAGUGCUAGAGUGCGGAAGGGGCAACUGGAAUUCUCGGUGUAGCGGUGAAAUGCGUAGAUAUUGAGAGGAACACCUGCGGCGAAGGCGGGUUGCUGGGCCGACACUGACGCUGGAUGCGCGAAAGCCAGGGGAGCGAACGGG
rnacentral:rRNA from 1 species